CUCUCUCUCUCGAUCUGAGAGGAAACGAGGCAGCCACAGCCUCCUGCACCCCCUUCUCUCUCGCCGCUGCUGCUCCCCAACCACCGUGCUGUGACGUUGCUUCCCCAAUUGGUCGCUGUCUCGUCUCCCCCGACCUGAAUACCGUCCUGGGCGGCGCGGCGCCGCCUCUGCCUCCACCCCCACCGGGCAAGGAGCUCGAGGUGUUUGGGGGAUUCUUGUCCCUGAUGUUAAUUAGGGUGACUAUUUCUGUUUGGGUAAUCUGGGGGACGAAUUUGAUGCUUGUGUUAAAUUCUUGUUGUAUCAUUUUUUGUGCCCAUUAAAUACAUUUACCAUUUUAUGACUUGAAUUUGCGGCCAGAGAGCGUUGAUUUUACCGAAUGCUGGUGAAUUAUUCUUCACUAAUUCAUUUCCUUGUAGUACAGUUGUGUUAGUUAUUUGCUUGCAAGAUAGCAUCUUCCUGAAUGAUUUCUUUAUAUUUUUCAGAUAAGGAGAACUUUAACCUUGCGCCCACCUAUGGCAAUAUUGCCCUCUUCAUAUUCUCCCUCGCUCAUCAGCAGCAGCGAUGGUGGCGUCAUUGUCGGCCUUGCAGCAUGUGGCAUAAUCAUGUCCAUUGCCUACUCUGGGGCAGAUCUGAUGUAAGACUUCAAGUGCGGCUACCUCACCCUCUCUUCACCAUGUGCAGUGUUCAUCUCGCAGGUAAAUAGGUUCCAAGUUGGUUAAUGUUGAUUUUUUGCUGAUGCACAACCCAUCAUAGGAAUUAGUAGGAUCAUCUCGAUGGAUGUAAGGACUGCAACAGGUUUCUUUCAGCAGCCUGGGGUUGUUAAGAAGAGGGUCGGGAUUGCUCUGGGCAGAUGCUUAAAUUCCUGGAUGUAAACGCACACUUGUCUUCUACACAGGCCAAAAUACUAUUGGAGAUAAGGAUACCCGCGCUGCUGCUGUUGCGUUUGGUUAGGGAGGGGCUUCUUCGUCUGCUUUGCCGUGCGGUGGCUGUGCGGCUACUUGUUCCUUCUUUGCUAGGUGAGGUUCUGCCUGCUCCCUUGCUUGCAAUCUGCUCGAUGAAAUGCGUGACUAGGUUUCCAAAAGUCUGAGAUCUUCCCUAUGUUGCCCGAGGCAUGGAUGAGUAUUGCUCAUGUUAGAUCUGAUGUGAUAUGCUUCUAGGAGCUGAGUUAGUUCGAUUUGGCUCUUCGUAAGGGCGUUUUUGCUUGCUUUCUUCUUAUGUCUAUGUAUACUAUGGUGUGUUCGUUACUUUGCUUUCUUGUGUUGUUGAAUUCGGCUUUGUUGUAUGAAAAGAGUUUCGAGAUGUUUCUCUAGUUUGGUUGUUGUGGUUCCUAUAUGAUGUAUUGAUUUAGGUCUGCUUUCGUUCUCUUGUUGGCUGGUUAUGCAUGGGCAUGGGGUCUGCCCCACCUGAGAUCUGUUUGGGUAUGUUUCCAGGUUAUCUGGCCUUUAAUGCUCAUAUGCAUUUGCUUUAAUUUUGUUGUUUGUUUGACUGGUUCUUAUUGCUGUCCAUUAAAUCUUUGACUGCUUUUUCUAGGCAUGUGUGUAUUGCGAUAUCGCGUGUUACUUCACAGAAAUCCCUAAAGAUCUUGAUCAAAGGAGAUGAUGAUGAAACUGCUUCUUAGACAAGGAACAUUGUGUUCCCUGAUAUUUUCCUCUCCAUUCACUAGGUGGUAUUACCAAUAACCUAAAAAAAGGGCAGCCCGGUGCAUGUAGCUCCCACUUGCGCAGGCUCCGGGGAAGGGUCCGACCACUUUGGGUCUAUUGCAGGGAUCGGCUUUGGUGGUGGCAGACGCUGGCAAGUC